GCGAGUCCUAAAAGAGUAUUAAGGACUCCCAAAGCAAGUCCUUAAAAUUAUUAUAUAAAACACUUAAAAAAGCUAUCAAAUUUUUUGAAAUUUUCGGGUUAACACAAUAGAGCACUAUCAGCAAUACAUUUGGGGAUUUAUUCAAAAUCACAACAUUUAGGGCUGGUAGAAAGGUGAACGGCGGCUGUAGGGGAACGGCAGUGACGGUGGUGAACGGCGUCGACGGUAGGUGGGUUCUCGGCUUCAGCAGUCUCGCCGACGGCGUGCUUCUUGGCGUGGGGUGCUGGCUGCUCACGGUUCCGUCUCUCGGCGUGCUUCGGUGAUUUCCAGAAACGAUUAGAUUAAAGAGAGAUUAACCAGUUUACCAAAAAAAAAAAUGAAGAGUGCUCAUUUCCUUCUCACACUUGCCAUAUUUACUUUGGCAUCUUCCAUUGCCUCUGCCUAUGAUCCUAGUCCUCUUCAAGACUUCUGUGUGGCAGUAGAUGAACCCCACAAAGCUUUGUUUGUGAAUGGGAAGUUUUGCAAGGAUCCAAAGGAAGUCAAUGCGGAUGAUUUCUUUACUUCAGGGCUCAACAUUGCAAGAAACACUGAUAAUCCAGUUGGUUCCAAAGUAAUAGCUGUUGAUACAAGUGUGACUUGUAAAAGAAUAUACAAGUUAAUAUUUUGAAUGGUUUUAAAGCAUUGGAUUGGUAGCUAAUUGCAAGAGUGUCGUAAACAACCAAACAAUAUCGACUGCGGAUAUUACGUUAUGAGGAUGAUGAAGAAUGUACUUAUCAAUGCCCCUCAUAUCAAACAUUUCUUGUCGAAACAGUUCACCUCCGACAAACCAUAUACUACUCAAGAAAUUGAUGAAGUUAGAGAAGAAUGGGCAAUGUCAUUUUUACAAUUGGUUAGAGCAAAAUGAAUGAUGUUAUAGCUAGCUAAUUACAAUACAUGUUUAGAAAUUUUAAAUUUAUAUUUCGUAAAAAAUUUUUGCCAUUUUUUUAGUAUUUUCUUUUCAAAUUUCUUUUGAUAGAUAUUCGACACUCAAAUGGAUAUAUAUUUUUUUAAAUCAAAAUU